GCAAGCGCUUGCCGGCGCGGACGCGGCCGGAACCGCUUCUACCGGCUCCGCGUCGGCCGAAUCCGGUGCGGCCGCUGCGGCGGCCCGCUGGCU
rnacentral:tRNA from 1 species